GACGAACGCUGGCGGCGUGCUUAACACAUGCAAGUCGAGCGGAAAGGCCCCUUCGGGGGUACUCGAGCGGCGAACGGGUGAGUAACACGUGAGUAUUCUGCCCUGCACUUGGGGAUAACCACCGGAAACGGUGGCUAAUACCCGAUAUGACACGGCCUCGCAUGGGGUCGUGUGGAAAGUUUUUUCGGUGCAGGAUGUGCUCGCGGCCUAUCAGCUUGUUGGUGGGGGAAUGGCCUACCAAGGCUUCGACGGGUAGCCGGCCUGAGAGGGUGACCGGCCACACUGGGACUGAGACACGGCCCAGACUCCUACGGGAGGCAGCAGUGGGGAAUAUUGGACAAUGGGCGGAAGCUUGAUCCAGCAACGCCGCGUGAGGGAUGACGGCCUUCGGGUUGUAAACCUCUUUCAGCGGGGACGAAGCGCAAGUGACGGUACCCGCAGAAGAAGCACCGGCCAACUACGUGCCAGCAGCCGCCGUAAAAC
rnacentral:rRNA from 1 species